CUUAGGUAGGGUGCACUGGGGGUGAUGCGUCUUCCCCUUGCACAACCAGUCCCUUACUCAGACUCCCGCAGACCUUAGGUUCCUAGUGACCAUAAUACUAGGUGGCGACUCCGACGUCACGCGGAUUUUGAUGUGCGGCAUCAGAUCUCGAAUCGGUUGUCAAUCUUGACAAAUGAUCUGCGACAACAUUUUCGGUGCCUUUCUUGUCUUUGAUUGUGAUAUCAAAUUCUUGAAGUAACAAAAUCCACUGCACCAAUCUAGG
rnacentral:lncRNA from 1 species